AUGAUCAUGGCGUCAACACAGGCCUCCGGGGGAGCAUCACAUGAUCUUGGCGACACGGUUACGUCAUUAGUUACAGAGUUCUUCGGAGGGGACGUUAUUGGCCCAUCUUUUAUCCCCCGGAGUCACAACCAUACGCCUACAAUUAUGCUUCAGGUUCGCAACAAGGAUUCGCGACUCCACCACCUACGCAGGACUCGCAGACACAUGAAGCCGAAUUGGAGUACGACCGCGGUCUUCGUGUGCCCCGGCCACCUAAUCGCUUGUCGCCUUCCGGUCGUAAGGAAAGGCCAGGUGGUCGUCGUUAAGUAG
rnacentral:rRNA from 1 species